rnacentral:rRNA from 1 species
AGAGUUUGAUCCUGGCUCAGGACGAACGCUGGCGGCGUGCCUAAUACAUGCAAGUCGAGCGGACCAAAUCGGAGCUUGCUCUGGUUUGGUCAGCGGCGGACGGGUGAGUAACACGUGGGCAACCUGCCCGCAAGACCGGGAUAACUCCGGGAAACCGGAGCUAAUACCGGAUAACACCGAAGACCGCAUGGUCUUUGGUUGAAAGGCGGCCUUUGGCUGUCACUUGCGGAUGGGCCCGCGGCGCAUUAGCUAGUUGGUGAGGUAACGGCUCACCAAGGCGACGAUGCGUAGCCGGCCUGAGAGGGUGACCGGCCACACUGGGACUGAGACACGGCCCAGACUCCUACGGGAGGCAGCAGUAGGGAAUCUUCCGCAAUGGGCGAAAGCCUGACGGAGCGACGCCGCGUGAGCGAAGAAGGCCUUCGGGUCGUAAAGCUCUGUUGUGAGGGACGAAGGAGCGCCGUUCGAAGAGGGCGGCGCGGUGACGGUACCUCACGAGGAAGCCCCGGCUAACUACGUGCCAGCAGCCGCGGUAAUACGUAGGGGCGAGCGUUGUCCGGAAUUAUUGGGCGUAAAGCGCGCGCAGGCGGUUCCUUAAGUCUGAUGUGAAAGCCCACGGCUCAACCGUGGAGGGUCAUUGGAAACUGGGGGACUUGAGUGCAGGAGAGGAGAGCGGAAUUCCACGUGUAGCGGUG